rnacentral:rRNA from 1 species
GACGAACGCUGGCGGCGUGCCUAACACAUGCAAGUCGAACGGAACUGUUUUGAAAGCUUUCUUCGGAAUGAAUUUGAUUUAGUUUAGUGGCGGACGGGUGAGUAACGCGUGAGUAACCUGCCUUCAAGAGGGGAAUAACAUUCUGAAAAGAAUGCUAAUACCGCAUGACAUAUCGGAACCACAUGGUUUUGAUAUCAAAGAUUUUAUCGCUUGAAGAUGGACUCGCGUCCGAUUAGUUAGUUGGUGAGGUAACGGCUCACCAAGACCGCGAUCGGUAGCCGGACUGAGAGGUUGAACGGACACAUUGGGACUGAGACACGGCCCAGACUCCUACGGGAGGCAGCAGUGGGGGAUAUUGCGCAAUGGGGGCAACCCUGACGAAGCAACGCCGCGUGAAGGAUGAAGGUUUUCGGAUUGUAAACUUCUUUUAUUAAGGACGAAAAAUGACGGUACUUAAUGAAUAAGCUCCGGCUAACUACGUG